UGGUUCUGGCAUCGAUGAAGAACGCAGCGAAAUGCGAUAAGUAGUGUGAAUUGCAGAAUUCAGUGAAUCAUCGAAUCUUUGAACGCACAUUGCGCCCCUUGGUAUUCCAUGGGGCAUGCCUGUUCGAGCGUCAUUUGUACUCUCAAGCUUAGCUUGGUGUUGGGUGUUUGUCCUCUCUUUUUGUUUGGACUCGCCUCAAAAAGAUUGGCAGCCGGUGUAUUGGUUUUUGAAGCGCAGCACAAUUUGCGCUUCUAGCGAAUAAUCAUCAGCUUUCCAUCAAGUAUUUUAACACUUUUGACCUCGGAUCAGGUAGGGAUACCCGCUGA
rnacentral:misc_RNA from 1 species